GGGCUCCGUUGCCACCCAUUUAUUUUUGAUGAUGGGGCUUUCAAAUCGACGAUUGGCACCGUUGAACAUGAUCUAUAUCCCUUAAAGUAUUUAGAAAUUAAAUUUCAAAUUUUUUUGACAUCAUUUACCUAAUGAUCAAAGGGUUUCAGAAUUAGUAAUUUUAAUGGUUGAUACGAGGGGUUUUUUCGUUUAACGGUGUAAAGCUAUCCAAAUCAAUUGAAUUUUGGUUAGAAAAUUCUUUAAACUAUUUAGAACAAGAUCUAUACUCUCGAUCAUGAUUACAAAAUUUCUAUCAUCACUUUUUAGAGGAUAUGCAUUUUCAGCCAUUCAUUUUUACGCCACUUGAUGGACAAGAAAACAAUAUCGCAAAAGUAUGAAAUUUGAUUUCUAGAUACUUCAAGUGGUAUAGAUCAUUUUCAAUGGUGCCGAUCGUCGAUUUGGAGGCUUCAUUAUUAAAAAUAAAUGGGUGGCAACAAAACCCGUUUGCUACCGAUUUCCAGCUCAACUCAUAUUAUUAGUAUUGAUAUGAUAUGGUAACUCGUAUUUAAUGUACAAGUAACAAGUAAUACUAUGCUCCGUCCAAUAAUAAAUGUAAGUAAAAUAUGAAACUAUGUAAUUGGAUUUUUUUUUUGUGAAUUAUUUCUUAUCUUGUAGACCUCGACUUCUCAUUAAUUACAAGAAAAAGUAAUAUUUAAGAAUGCUUUUUUGAUAUUUAACAAUACUUAAAAGCAUCAUAAUAUAAUUUAGCGUCAUAUUUGAAAGCGUCGGGCAAAGCAUCAGCAAAUGAAAAAUCGUACAUAUAUAUCAACGCUUAUAUCAAUCAUCGAUAAAAUAUGUUCUGACGCUUUAAAGCGUCAAAUUUUUUAAAAAUUCUGACGCUUCAAAGCAUCGAAAACUUAAAAGUAACAGUAAAACUAAUCAUUUAUUAAAUUGAUUUGAUAUAAUAGAGGGUUCAUAUAUAUGAAGAUUCUGUUUGAAGUAUCGAUUUUUGCUAUAUUAUAGGGACGCUUCCCCCAAACGUCAUCUAAAAGCAUCAUUCUAUUGAGAUUUUCUUAUAAUGUCUUGCUCGUAUUUAAUGCCAGGGGCUAAAGUCCUAUACUUAGGGACCAUUUGGUUCGAUAUAAUUAUAAAUAAAAUAUAAUUAAAAAUACAACAGAUAUAACUAUACAUAAUUUGGCUUGUUCUGUGUUGAUAUAGCUGGUGCAGUUAUAUUUUUCUGUUUGGCAAUGUGAAACUAAUAAUCUCACCUUUCAAAUAGAAUAGUAAGAUUAUCUAUACUAGCUAUACAUAAAAUAAUCAUAUAAUUUUAUUAAUUGUUUAAUAAGUUGAUAUAUAUAUAUAUAUAUAUAUAUAGAGAGAGAGAGAGAGAGAGAGAGAGAGAGAGAGAAUUAGGCUGGAAUACUAUUAAUAGUAAAACGCUCUUUUUGCUAUCAAGAUUUUAACCCUUGGAUGAAAAAUUGUAUGGUCAGAAUGAUAUUAAUCGGUUAGAGUUGAGUGGUCACCCUAGGGUUGAAUGGUCCCCACUGGGUUAUAGUAUUUUAUCAAAUGGUUAGAAAUAAUAAAAAAAGUUGAUCCAAAGGCUAAAAAACUGGUAGCAAUAAUGAAAUUUUGCUACUAAUAGUAGCCCAGUCCAACUCUAUAACUUGGGCUAGUUUUUUUUUUUCUUUUUUUCUUUUUUUUUUUAUUAACUACUCAAAUAUUUUAUUAUUAAAAUAUUGAUAAAUAAGUAAAAUUAUUAUUUUACUCUAAAAACUUAAAUUAUUAGAAAAUAGUGUUUAAAUAGUUUUAUAUUUAACACUCUCUUUCGUGUCCGAAUUUGAGAUUUUUGUAGACUCCUGACCUGAACUGGAAUUAAAUAGGAGGAAAUUAGUAAUGUCAGAAGCUUGAUGUGACUCGAAUUUCAGAAUCUCCUGCUUUGAUG
rnacentral:lncRNA from 1 species